rnacentral:rRNA from 1 species
GACGAACGCUGGCGGCGUGCUUAACACAUGCAAGUCGAACGAAGUGGCGAACGGGUGAGUAAUACGUGGGGAACCUGCCCUCCUUUUUGGGAUAAGCCUUGGAAACGGGGUCUAAUACCGAAUAAGGGGGGAUGGGCUCGCGGGCUAUCAGCUUGUUGGGGGGGUGAUGGUCUACCAAGGCGGUGACGGGUAGCCGGCCUGAGAGGGUGACCGGCCACAUUGGGACUGAGAUACGGCACAGACUCCUACGGGAGGCAGCAGUGGGGGAGAUUGCACAAUGGGCGAAAGACUGAUGCAGCGACGCCGCGGGAAGGAAGACGGUCUUCGGAUUGUAAACUUCUUUAGACAGUGACGGUACCUGUAGAAUAAGCCACGGCUAACUACGUGCCAGCAGCCGCGGUAAUUC